GACGAACGCUGGCGGCGUGCUUAACACAUGCAAGUCGAACGGAAAGGCCCUGCUUUUGUGGGGUGCUCGAGUGGCGAACGGGUGAGUAACACGUGAGUAACCUGCCCUUGUCUUUGGGAUAACUUCAGGAAACUGGGGCUAAUACCGGAUAGGAGCUCCUGCUGCAUGGUGGUGGUUGGAAAGUUUCGGCGGUUGGGGAUGGACUCGCGGCUUAUCAGCUUGUUGGUGGGGUAGUGGCUUACCAAGGCUUUGACGGGUAGCCGGCCUGAGAGGGUGACCGGCCACAUUGGGACUGAGAUACGGCCCAGACUCCUACGGGAGGCAGCAGUGGGGAAUAUUGCACAAUGGGCGGAAGCCUGAUGCAGCAACGCCGCGUGCGGGAUGACGGCCUUCGGGUUGUAAACCGCUUUCGCCUGUGACGAAGCGUGAGUGACGGUAAUGGGUAAAGAAGCACCGGCUAACUACGUG
rnacentral:rRNA from 1 species